rnacentral:rRNA from 1 species
AAUAACUCUGGGCAACGGAUAUCUCGGCUCUCGCAUCGAUGAAGAACGUAGCGAAAUGCGAUACUUGGUGUGAAUCGCAGAAUCCCGUGAACCAUCGAGUCUUUGAACGCAAGUUGCGCCCGAAGCCAUUAGGCUGAGGGCACGUC